AAAUGAACGCGGCUUCAUUAUUUAUAUAAGGCCGUGUAGGUUCAUAAAAUAAGGUGAUGCUACAGUACUUACAACACACAGAAUUUCUUCCAAUUUACGAAAUGUGAUCCGUGAUGUUUUAAUGUUUUGAUGGAUAAUGGGAACUGUAUGGUGUUAAAAUGGUUUUAAAUGUCCCCAAGAGUUGCUGAAAUAACUUAAUAUUCUAAUGUCACUGCGCAGUAUGAGCGUAUGCUCGUCUUGAAUUUGGUUGCAAAGCAUAGAACAGCCACAGGCAUUGUCUGUUGUUGGCGAGUAUAACUAGAACCGUGAAUUUAGCUACUCAAAGUAAUUGACAUGUGCACACCCUGGUCAUUAGAAACACGCCCAAGAUCUCAAAUCCUAGCUAAGACCCUGCUUGUGGAUAAAAUUACAAAAGGAAUAGAUCAAGGACAAUAUACACUCGGUAUCUUCCUUGAUCUAUCAAAAGCAUUCGAUACAAUUAAUCACAGGAUUCUGAUUGAAAAACUGGAGCAUUAUGGAAUAAGAGGAAUCUGUUUAAAAUGGUUUAAAAAUUACUUAGAGAAUAGAAAACAAACU